CAGUAGCCGCGGUAAUACGUAGGGUGCGAGCGUUAAUCGGAAUUACUGGGCGUAAAGCGUGCGCAGGCGGUUUGUUAAGACCGAUGUGAAAUCCCCGGGCUCAACCUGGGAACUGCAUUGGUGACUGGCAAGCUAGAGUAUGGCAGAGGGGGGUAGAAUUCCACGUGUAGCAGUGAAAUGCGUAGAGAUGUGGAGGAAUACCGAUGGCGAAGGCAGCCCCCUGGGCCAAUACUGACGCUCAUGCAUGAAAGCGUGGGGAGCAAACAGGAUUAGAUACCCGCGUAGUCCCUGUCUCUUAUAC
rnacentral:rRNA from 1 species